GUUGACAGGGACGCUUGGGAACAACCCCUCUGCAGAGGCAGGAUGCCAGUCCUGCCUGACCUGGGAGAUACUGUAGAUCCCAAGCUUGAAACUCUUCCAGCUCUGCCCACUUCAGCCGGACUCCAGACAGACAGCUACACCAGCAAAGUCGGUUGAGACUGGUUUUUUGUUUUCUUAUCCUAGAAGAGUUCCUGGGGCCAGGUGUGAUGGUACACACCUGUGAUCACAGCUUUCAGGCUGCGAGGAGGAGAUCAUAAUCCUGAGUCACAUUAGAGAGACCCUGCUGCAAAGACAAAGCAAGCCGGGCGUGGUACUGCUCACCGCUCACCGCUCACCGCUCACCGCUCACCGCUCACCGCUCACCGCUCACCGCUCACCGCUCACCGCUCACCGCUCACCUCUCACCUCUCACCUCUCACCUCUCACCUCUCACCUCUCACCUCUCACCUCUCACCUCUCACCUAUGGCCCUGGCCCUGUACGGGGAGGCAGAGGAGUUAGUACAAAAUCAGUAAGUCAGGGGCUGGAGAGACAGCUCGGUGGUUCAGGGUUCUUGCUGCACUUGCAGAGGACCUGAGCUUUGUAGCAUUCACAAUGGGCCGCUCACGUCUGCUUUUAAUUCCAGCCCCAGAGGAAUCCAACGCCCUCCUCACAGACACUGUGUUUACAUAUAAAAGCUACACGCCCAUACCCAUGCACAGGCAUAAAUAAUUAAAAAAUAAAGCUAAGCAUGGUGG
rnacentral:lncRNA from 1 species